rnacentral:rRNA from 1 species
UACGUAGGGACCAAGCGUUGUUCGGAUUUACUGGGCGUAAAGGGCGCGUAGGCGGCGUGACAAGUCACUUGUGAAAUCUCCGGGUCUUAACCCGGAACUGCCAAGUGAUACUGUCGUGCUAGAGUGCGGAAGGGGCAAUCGGAAUUCUCGGUGUAGCGGUGAAAUGCGUUGAUAUCAUCAGGAACACCGGUGGCGAAGGCGGCUUUCUGGGUCUUACCUGACGCUGAGGAACGAAAGCUAGGGGAGCGAACGGG